UCGGAUGUGGGCUUAUGAACAAGUAAUUGUGUGUGGAAUCGGGUACCACAUAGAUAUUGUGCAUGGACACCUAAGGUCAUGACUAGAUAGACAAGAUCAAAGACCAAAUAGCAUGUGUGUACAAAUAAGUGAUUGUGUGAGUGGCCAAUGAGACGGAUGAGAUACAUAGAUUGUACCACUUUGAGGUCAGUGGGGAUAUGAUUAUCCUGAUGGUGUUACUGUUGAUUGAUUGCAGAUCUUGUAACGAUUUUGAUAUAUGAUUAUGUGUGGAAUUCCACCAUUGAUAUGUUUUUCAGCAUUGGUUGCCUG
rnacentral:lncRNA from 1 species